UGCCCAUCAACUCCUAUCCCUACCUCCACGCGGUACCGGCCGGAAACUAUGAGCAACCUUAGGGAAGAUCGGGUAACCAACCCCGGUGGGACCUUUGGUCGUAGGCUGACAGGGAAGG
rnacentral:ribozyme from 1 species